GUCUCUCUAAGUAUCUCCAUCACUUCAAUCCUUUUCUCUCUCUUUUUUUUUUUUUAAUAUCCAUUUACGAUUGAUUGAUUGAUUAAUUAAUUAAUUUAUAAUUGCUGAUCUUUCUCUUUCUUCCAAGUCUCUUUUCUUUGUGGCGUUUCUUUUUCUCUGUCCCUCUUCCUUUUAUUUUUGUUGGGAGUAAAAUCUACAUGGUGUCAGCUUCUGGUUUUGCAGGGACAUACAGGCAUAGAGAGAGAGAGAGAGAGAGAGAGAGAGAGAGAGAAGAGUGUUUAUCGCAGUCUAGAGAUAAUCUGAUCUAACUAUAAUCUGAAACCAAUCCACCCUAAUCUAAUGUAAUCUGAUAUUGAGAGAGGAAAUAGAGAAUUAAGAAAUAAGAGAAAUGUGAGGAGUGGGUUUUUGCGGCUUCACCAAAUCUAACCCCUACCCUCGCUGCUACCAUAACAACUUCAUCUCCUUCAUUCCGCAAGUAAAGAGCUACUGCUGCUACUUCACUCUCCUGUUACCACCAACCUUAAAGUCAAAGCUUGUAAUGGGGUCCGAACAGAAUAGGUUCCCUCAGCAGGAACGGCGUAAGAGAUGGGGAGGAUGCUGGGGUGCGUUUUCUUGUUUUGGCUUGCAGAAAGGUGGAAAACGUAUUGUGCCUGCAUCUCGUAUUCCUGAUGGUAAUGCAACAGCAGUGCAGCCAAAUGGAGCACAAGCUGGUGGUCUGACCAACCAAACUACGACACUAGCUCCAUCACUUUUAGCUCCGCCUUCUUCACCAGCAUCAUUUACUAAUUCGGCUCUCCCUUCAACGGCUCAGUCACCUAGUUGCUUCUUGUCUUUAUCAGCCAACUCGCCUGGUGGUCCUUCGUCCACAAUGUUUGCAACUGGGCCAUAUGCCCAUGAAACACAACUAGUUUCUCCUCCUGUUUUCUCAACCUUCACAACUGAGCCAUCUACUGCUCCUUUUACUCCCCCGCCAGAGUUAGCUCACUUAACUACGCCCUCUUCCCCAGACGUGCCUUUUGCUCAAUUCCUCUCAUCAUCUGCGAAUUUCAAAAGCACUGAGAAGACUAAUUACAUUGCUGCUGGUGAUCUUCAAGCUACAUAUUCGCUUUAUCCUGGAAGUCCUGCUAGCAGUCUCAUUUCACCAAUUUCUAGGACCUCAGGUGACUGUUUAUCAUCAUCCUUUCAUGAACGAGAGUUCCCCCCUCAAUGGGAUCCUUCAGUCUCUCCCCAAAAUGGAAAAUAUUCAAGGAGUGGUUCUGGCAGGCUCUUUGGGCAUGACACAACUGGUGCCUCCUUGGUAUCUCAAGAUACAAAUUUCUUUUGUCCUGCGACAUUUGCACGAUUCUAUCUGGACCAUAAUCCACCAUUUCCUCAUACUGGUGGGAGGUUAAGUGUUUCCAAGGAUUCAGAUGUUUAUCCUGCUGGUGGAAAUGGCCAUCAGAACAGGCACAAUAGAAGUCCCAAGCAAGAUGUGGAAGAAUUAGAAGCUUACAGAGCAUCCUUUGGGUUCAGUGCUGAUGAAAUUAUCACUACUCAACAAUAUGUAGAAAUUUCUGAUGUAAUGGACGACUCAUUUACCAUGACUCCUUUUACUUCAACUAAACCUACCCGAGAAGAAAGUGAUGAAGCUGCAUCUAGGAGUGAAGGCCAAAAGGCACAGACAAUACUGACAAACUUGCCAAGCAUUAAAUUGAAAUCAGAUACUAUAUGUGGCGAUGUACCAGUCUCUUGUGAUGGAAAUGAAGAUCCUAAAUCAAGAAAGCAGGCUGGAGAUAUCUCUGCGUCAAGUACACCUGGUAUCCAUGCUCUGAAAGAUGAUGAUAACAUAUUUUCAAAGAUGACAUCAUCCAAAAUCAGCAGGAGAUAUGAUCUGGGAGCAUCUUGCUCUGAUGCAGAAAUUGACUAUAGGAGGGGAAGAAGCUUAAGAGAAGGCAAAGGAGAUUUUGCGUGGCAUGACUAAAUUAGAGAAAAAGCAAGUCGUCAGUUGUUUCCCAUGUAUUAAGUUGCAGGUUUCUGUCAUACUCUUCUGUUUGGAGUUAUCUGUGAUAGGUGGAUGAUCUAACAUAUGAUCUAACGUAUUCUUCUCCUGUAUUUCCUCCUUUCCUGCUCUUUCAGGUGAACGUCUGAUUAUUUGUCAACUUUUUAUUUGGUAGUAUGAAUUGCUUGGGAGUAACGAAUUGCUCGACAUUGCAUUGUUAACUCAUUAAAGCAGCAUUCUUUUUUUACCUCGAAGAAAUAUGGUUUCAUUAGCCUUCAAAUUGGCAAAGAUUGUGAUACAAAGUGAUAUUGCAAACGAGGAUUGCUUCUAAAGGAAGUAUCAUAUAGGUGCUUCUGUACAAGAGAAUGAACAAGCCCUACGAAAAAAAUGAGAUUCAAAACCCUCGUUCUUGAUAAAUGGGAUGAAGGAAGUUUCUGUCCUUUUGCAGUGAUGUUGAAUUUUGUAGAAUUUCAAGUGGGAAUUAUUUGCUAUUCCUGAUACUGAAUUGUCUACGAGGUUUUGGCGUUUUGCACUGCAAUUAUAUUAGUAUAUGCAUAUAGAGAGUAGUUGAUGAAA